rnacentral:misc_RNA from 1 species
CUCUGCACUUGGCCUACUAGU